rnacentral:rRNA from 1 species
CAGUCGCCACGGUAAUACGUAGGUCCCGAGCGUUGUCCGGAUUUAUUGGGCGUAAAGCGAGCGCAGGCGGUUAGAUAAGUCUGAAGUUAAAGGCUGUGGCUUAACCAUAGUACGCUUUGGAAACUGUUUAACUUGAGUGCAAGAGGGGAGAGUGGAAUUCCAUGUGUAGCGGUGAAAUGCGUAGAUAUAUGGAGGAACACCGGUGGCGAAAGCGGCUCUCUGGCUUGUAACUGACGCUGAGGCUCGAAAGCGUGGGGAGCAAACAGGAUUAGAUACCCGUGUAGUCCCUGUCUCUUAUACA